rnacentral:ncRNA from 2 species
GUUCGUCUUCAGGGCAGGGUGCAAUUCCCGACCGGCGGUAAUAGCCCGCUACUCGUCACGGUUGUGGCGACCGACUUGGUGUGAUUCCAAGGCCGAUAGUGAAAGUCUAGAUGGAAGAAGAUGGGA